GAAGGUUGGAGUCUGCCUGGAGAAUGGUCAUGAGCACAGGAACAGGAGACCUCGGUUUCCCAUGACCCCUGCAGAGGUGGUCAGGCAUUUUGGGGACAGGUUGACUCAUUCUGACGUGAAAGAGAUGAGUUCCUACCGUGAGCUCUGGUACUUGGGUAAGGAAAUUGAUAGCUCCAAUCACCAUGCUACAUCAAGUAACGA